rnacentral:rRNA from 1 species
AAACUGAAGAGUUUGAUCAUGGCUCAGAUUGAACGCUGGCGGUAGGCUUAACACAUGCAAGUCGAGCGAGAAAGUUCCUUCGGGAGCGAGUAGAGCGGCGGACGGGUGCGUAACACGUAGGAAUCUGCCUGGUAGUGGGGGACAACAGUUGGAAACGACUGCUAAUACCGCAUACGCCCUAAGGGGGAAAGUGAGGGAUCUUCGGACCUCACGCUAUCAGAUGAGCCUGCGUCGGAUUAGCUAGUAGGUGAGGUAAUGGCUCACCUAGGCGACGAUCCGUAGCUGGUCUGAGAGGAUGAUCAGCCACACUGGGACUGAGACACGGCCCAGACUCCUACGGGAGGCAGCAGUCGAGAGGCUUCGGCAAUGGGGGAAACCCUGACCGAGCGACGCCGCGUGGACGAUGAAGUUUUUCGGAAUGUAAAGUCCUGUCAUACGGGAUGAAAAGCCGAUUGGUUAAUAACCUUUUGGUCUG